GGGUCAGUAGGUUGGUCGUGCCACCGGUACGUACUGGUCUCACUGAUUCCUCCUUCCUGAAGAACCGUAAUGCCAUUAAUUUGGUGUUGCGGGGAAACAGGACUGUUACUUCGAAAAAAUUAGAGUGUUUAAAGCAGGCUAACGCUUGAAUACAUUAGCAUGGGAUAAUGAAAUAGGACGAUCGAUCCUAUUUUGUUGGUUCCUAGGAUUGACGUA
rnacentral:rRNA from 1 species